CGCUCAACAGCUAGCCCACCCCACCAAAUACAACAACCCCUAUUAAUACCCCCUAAGACACUAACCCCAUAACAACAAACCAUUUUUCCACCUGAGUAUAGGCGAUAGAAAAGGACAUUCGGAGCAACAGAGAAAGUACCGCAAGGGAACGCUGAAAAAGAAAUGAAACAAAUAACAUAAGCUUACAACAGCAGAGAGACAAACUCGUACCUUUUGCAUCAUGGUCUAGCCAGUAACACUCAAGCAAAGAGCACUUUAGUUUGAUACCCCGAAACUAGGUGAGCUACUUCAAGACAGCCUAACCAAUAGGGCUAACCCGUCUCUGUGGCAAAAGAGUGGGAAGAGCUUCAAGUAGCGGUGACAAACCUAUCGAACCUAGUAAUAGCUGGUUGCCUAAGAAAUGGAUAGAAGUUCAGCCUUCCAGCUUCUUUAUUCACACACAGUUUAUACUUCAUCCUGACGAUAAAUAGAAACCGGAAGAGUUAAUCAAAAGGGGAACAGCCCCUUUGAUACAAGACACAACUUCACCAGGUGGGUAAAGAUCAUAAUAAUAAAUAAAGCCUGUGCCUAGGUGGGCCUAAAAGCAGCCAUCCCUACAGAAAGCGUUAAAGCUCAAACACAUUCUACCCCUACCUAUUCUGAUAACCUAUCUCAACCCCCUAAUUUUAUUAGGCCAUCCCAUGACCCCAUGGGAGUGAUAAUGCUAGAAUGAGUAAUAAGAAAGGUCCAAUGCCUUUCUCCACGCACAACUGCAUAUCGGAACGGACUCCCCGCCGAACUCUAACGGUCCCAAAUAAAGAGGGCACUGAAUAGCAAACACAACAACUAGAAAUCUAUUCAACACACAACCGUUAACCCCACACUGGUGUGCUCACAUGGAAAGACUAAAAGAGAAAGAAGGAACUCGGCAAACACUAUCGGCCUCGCCUGUUUACCAAAAACAUCGCUUCUUGCAAACUAUGAAUAAGAAGUCCUGCCUGCCCUGUGACUAUAUGUUUAACGGCUGCGGUAUCCUGACCGUACGAAGGUAGCGCAAUCACUUGCCUUUUAAAUAGAGACCUGUAUGAAUGGCAAAACGAGGGCUCAACUGUCUCCUUUCUCAAGUCAAUGAAAUUGAUCUCCCCGUGCAGAAGCGGGGAUAAACCCAUAAGACGAGAAGACCCUAUGGAGCUUUAGAUGCAAGGACAGAUCACGUUAAGCACCUCUUAACAAAGAACCAAACCGAACGAACCCUGUCCCAGUAUCUUUGGUUGGGGCGACCGCGAGGAAAAACAAAACCCCCGCAUGGACUGAGGACACACCAUUCUCCCCUCUCCUCACAGCUAAGAGUUUCCACUCUAAGAACCAGAACUUCUGACCUACAAAGAUCCGGCAAUGCCGAUCAACGGACCCAGUUACCCUAGGGAUAACAGCGCAAUCCCCUUUUAGAGCCCAUAUCGACAAGGGGGUUUACGACCUCGAUGUUGGAUCAGGACAUCCUAAUGGUGCAGCCGCUAUUAAGGGUUCGUUUGUUCAACGAUUAAAGUCCUACGUGAUCUGAGUUCAGACCGGAGUAAUCCAGGUCAGUUUCUAUCUAUGAAAUGAUUUUUUCUAGUACGAAAGGACCGAAAAAAUGAGGCCCAUGCUAAAAGCACGCCUUAUCUACACCUAAUGAAGCCAACUAAAUUAGACAAGAUGACAUCCCCCUAUUGCCCGAAAUAAUGGCAU
rnacentral:rRNA from 1 species